rnacentral:misc_RNA from 1 species
AAAGAUAUAGCAUACCCUUUCUGGAUAUACUUUAUAAACCCAUUCUGAGUACCUUACCCGUUGCUUCCGUGAGGCAGUGACUUCGGUCCCUUCAACGAUGACGUCAGUCAUUCGAGGAGAGUUACUCACGGGAGGUAUACAUUAAACUCUUGCAUUACCAUGUCAUCUGUCUGAUUAUGUUUAUAACAAAUUAUUA